CCGGCCAGCUCCGCCCCUGCCCCGCGGGCUGGCCCCAAAGGGCUGCCGGACCCUAGGACCCGAGGCGAACCUGUCUCGCUAGAAGCCGGACCUUGGCGAGUCGAUGGUUCAAGAUUCAACAAUGGCUAAAGAAUAGGUCAU
rnacentral:lncRNA from 1 species